rnacentral:rRNA from 1 species
UACGGAGGAUCCAAGCGUUAUCCGGAUUUAUUGGGUUUAAAGGGUGCGUAGGCGGCUUAUUAAGUCAGUGGUGAAAGCCUGUAGCUUAACUACAGAACUGCCAUUGAUACUGAUGAGCUUGAAUAUACUUGAGGUUGGCGGAAUGUGUCAUGUGGCGGUGAAAUGCUUAGAUAUGACACAGAACACCGAUUGCGAAGGCAGCUAGCUAAAGUACAAUUGACGCUGAUGCACGAAAGCGUGGGGAGCAAACAGG